rnacentral:rRNA from 1 species
UAAACUCCCUGUUGUUGAGGAAGAUAAUGACGGUACUCAACAAGGAAGUGACGGCUAACUACGUGCCAGCAGCCGCGGUAAAACGUAGGUCACAAGCGUUGUCCGGAAUUACUGGGUGUAAAGGGAGCGCAGGCGGGAGAACAAGUUGGAAGUGAAAUCCAUGGGCUCAACCCAUGAACUGCUUUCAAAACUGUUUUUCUUGAGUAGUGCAGAGGUAGGCGGAAUUCCCGGUGUAGCGGUGGAAUGCGUAGAUAUCGGGAGGAACACCAGUGGCGAAGGCGGCCUACUGGGCACCAACUGACGCUGAGGCUCGAAAGUGUGGGUAGCAAACAGGAUUAGAUACCCUGGUAGUCCACACCGUAAACGAUGAUUACUAGGUGUUGGAGGAUUGACCCCUUCAGUGCCGCAGUUAACACAAUAAGUAAUCCACCUGGGGAGUACGACCGCAAGGUUGAAACUCAAAGGAAUUGACGGGGGCCCGCACAAGCAGUGGAGUAUGUGGUUUAAUUCGACGCAACGCGAAGAACCUUACCAAGUCUUGACAUCCCUUGACGAACAUAGAAAUAUGUUUUCUCUUCGGAGCAAGGAGACAGGUGGUGCAUGGUUGUCGUCAGCUCGUGUCGUGAGAUGUUGGGUUAAGUCCCGCAACGAGCGCAACCCUUAUGGUCAGUUACUACGCAAGAGGACUCUGGCCGGACUGCCGUUGACAAA